GCCCCAGAACCGCGAGAAACGGCCUCUUGCGGAUCGGGUAAUUUAAAAUAAAGGAG
rnacentral:ncRNA from 1 species